GGGGGUAUAGCUCAGCGGUAGAGCUCGUGCUUAGCAUGCACAAGGUCCUGGGUUCAAUCCUCAGCACCUCCU
rnacentral:tRNA from 1 species